GGUUCGAUGGUGUAAUGGUUAGCACUCUGGACUUUGAAUCCAGUGAUCCGAGUUCAAAUCUCGGUAGAACCU
rnacentral:tRNA from 1 species